UAUUGGUCAAUGGCCGGAAGGCUGAACCAGCCAAGCCGCGUGAGGGAGGAAGGCGCAGAGCGUCGCAGACCUCUUUUGCCGGGGGACAAAAGGCCGGACGUGUCCGGUCCUGAGGGUACCCGGAGAAAAAGCAUCGGCUAACUCCGUGCCAGCAGCCGCGGUAAUACGGAGGAUGCGAGCGUUAUCCGGAUUUAUUGGGUUUAAAGGGUGCGUAGGCGGGAUGCCAAGUCAGCGGUCAAAUACGGGGGCUCAACCUGCGUCCGCCGUUGAAACUGGCGUUCUUGAGUGGGCGAGAAGUACGCGGAAUGCGUGGUGUAGCGGUGAAAUGCAUAGAUAUCACGCAGAACCCCGAUUGCGAAGGCAGCGUACCGGCGCCCUACUGACGCUGAAGCACGAAAGCGUGGGUAUCGAACAGG
rnacentral:rRNA from 1 species